rnacentral:lncRNA from 1 species
CUCAUCUCUAAACAGCCCUCGGCACAAAGGGUAGCGGGAGUGUGAACCACUCGUUGCUGAAGCCGGCGCCUCGGCUUCAUUCAAGACGCGGCACUUUGAAAAACACCGCGCAUUUAAAGAGUCUUCAGCACUGUUUUCCCACCGCUGUGCAGUUCCUGUGGCGGCGAAGCUGGGAGGAGCUCAAGUUACACUGUAUCCUGCAAUGUCACCGCCACCACGGUUUCCAGCUUUCAGGAAGAGCAGGCAGCCGCUGGCCCCGUGGAGACGCUGUAAAGAGAACGGACUCCUGCUCCUGCUGGCGGGGGUCAUGUGACGGAGUCCAAGAAUGGGGCUGUCUGCCUUUUUUAACUGCUGGAGAAGAGACUGAUAAUGCUUGUGCGAACUACAGGGCAGGUUCCCAGAACCAACACACGCCGAACAGUCUAGCAGUUCCUGAACCAGCCACUAAGUGCCGCUGUUUUCCAGUGAAUACCUGUGCUUUCUGUGUGAUGUCUGUUUGACCUGCUCUGACCGUUACAUUUUCUGCUCCAGCAACACCUCGGUCAGUCAGCGUCCGAGAACCGAGACUACCUACCACAGCCGAGGAGUGGCCUA